rnacentral:rRNA from 1 species
UCCUGACUGACCGAUAGUGAACCAGUACCGUGAGGGAAAGGCGAAAAGAACCCCGGCGAGGGGAGUGAAAAAGAACCUGAAACCGUGUACGUACAAGCAGUGGGAGCACGCUUAGGCGUGUGACUGCGUACCUUUUGUAUAAUGGGUCAGCGACUUAUAUUCUGUAGCAAGGUUAACCGAAUAGGGGAGCCGAAGGGAAACCGAGUCUUAACUGGGCGUUAAGUUGCAGGGUAUAGACCCGAAACCCGGUGAUCUAGCCAUGGGCAGGUUGAAGGUUGGGUAACACUAACUGGAGGACCGAACCGACUAAUGUUGAAAAAUUAGCGGAUGACUUGUGGCUGGGGGUGAAAGGCCAAUCAAACCGGGAGAUAGCUGGUUCUCCCCGAAAGCUAUUUAGGUAGCGCCUCGUGAAUUCAUCUCCGGGGGUAGAGCACUGUUUCGGCAAGGGGGUCAUCCCGACUUACCAACCCGAUGCAAACUGCGAAUACCGGAGAAUGUUAUCACGGGAGACACACGGCGGGUGCUAACGUCCGUCGUGAAGAGGGAAACAACCCAGACCGCCAGCUAAGGUCCCAAAGUCAUGGUUAAGUGGGAAACGAUGUGGGAAGGCCCAGACAGCCAGGAUGUUGGCUUAGAAGCAGCCAUCAUUUAAAGAAAGCGUAAUAGCUCACUGGUCGAGUCGGCCUGCGCGGAAGAUGUAACGGGGCUAAACCAUGCACCG